rnacentral:rRNA from 1 species
UACAGAGGGUGCGAGCGUUAAUCGGAAUUACUGGGCGUAAAGCGUGCGCAGGCGGUUUUGUAAGCCAGAUGUGAAAUCCCCGGGCUUAACCUGGGAAUGGCAUUUGGGACUGCAAGGCUGGAGUUUGGCAGAGGAGACUGGAAUUCCUGGUGUAGCAGUGAAAUGCGUAGAUAUCAGGAGGAAUACCGAUGGCGAAGGCAGGUCUCUGGGCUAUAACUGACGCUCAUGCACGAAAGCGUGGGGAGCAAACAGG